rnacentral:rRNA from 1 species
GGUAGUUGGUGAGGUAACGGCUCACCAAGCCUUAGACGGGUAGCGGGCGUGAGAGCGUGACCCGCCGCAUCGGGACUGAGACACUGCCCGGACUCCUACGGGAGGCUGCAGUAACGAAUAUUCCGCAAUGCGCGAAAGCGUGACGGAGCAAUGCCGCGUGAAGGAUGAAGCCCCUCGGGGUGUAAACUUCUGUCAGGGAAUAGGAACAAAAUGACCGUUCCCAAAGGAAGGGCCGGCUAACUUCGUGCCAAGCAGCCGCGGUAAUACGAAGGGCCCGAGCGUUGCGCGGAAUCACUGGGCUUAAAGGGUGCGUAGGCGGAACUGUAAGUACUUUGUGAAAUCCCUCGGGUCAACCGGGGAAUUGCUUGGUAUACUGCGGUUCUUGAGGGCCAAUAGGGGCAGCCGGAACUCUAGGUGGAGCGGUGAAAUGCAUAGAUAUCUAGAGGAACGCCAAAGGUGAAAGACAGGCUGCUGGGCUGGACCUGACGCUGAGGCACGAAAGCUUGGGGAGCAAACAGGAUUAGAUACCCUGGUAGUCCACGCCGUAAACGUUGUGCACUAGGUCCCGGAGGUUUGGACGCCAUCGGGGCUGGAGCAAAAGUAUUAAGUGCACCGCCUGGGGAGUACGGUCGCAAGGCUAAAACUCAAAGGAAUUGACGGGGGCUCACACAAGCGGUGGAGCAUGUGGCUUAAUUCGAAGCAACGCGAAGAACCUUAUCCUGGGUUUGACAUGUAUGGAUUAACCUCGUGAAAGCGAGGCCACGCCCUUUGGGUGGAACAUACACAGGUGCUGCAUGGCUGUCGUCAGCUCGUGCCGUGAGGUGUUAGGUUAAGUCCUUCAACGAGCGAAACCCUUGCCGUUAGUUGCCAGCGCGCCUUCGGGUGGCGGGGACUCUAGCGGGACUGCCGGUGUCAAACCGGAGGAAGGUGGGGAUGACGUC